rnacentral:autocatalytically_spliced_intron from 1 species
AGGAGCCGUAUGCGAUAGUUCCGUACGUACGGAUCUGUGCGGGGGGGCAGGUAACUGCCAUCCCUACCGCGAC